rnacentral:rRNA from 1 species
UACGUAGGUGGCAAGCGUUACUCGGAAUCACUAGGCGUAAAGCGCAGGUAGGCGGUUUGAUAAGUCUCUUGUGAAAGCUCCCGGCUCAACUGGGAGAGGUCAAGGGAAACUGUCAGGCUAGAGUGGGGCAGAGGAAGCUAGAAUUCCCGGUGUAGCGGUGAAAUGCGUAGAUAUCGGGAAGAACACCCGUGGCUAAGGCGGCUCUCGAGUACGGUACUGACGCUGAGACGCGAAAGCGUGGGGAGCGAACAGG